GACGGGGGGGGCAAGCGUUGUUCGGAAUUACUGGGCGUAAAGGGCUUGUAGGCGGCCAACUAAGUCCGACGUGAAAUCCCCAGGCUUAACCUGGGAACUGCGUCGGAUACUGGAUGGCUUGAAUUCGGGAGAGGGAUGUGGAAUUCCAGGUGUAGCGGUGAAAUGCGUAGAUAUCUGGAGGAACACCGGUGGCGAAGGCGGCAUCCUGGACCGAUAUUGACGCUGAUGCGCGAAAGCCAGGGGAGCAAACGGG
rnacentral:rRNA from 1 species